GCGGUGGUGGUUUGGUGGUAGAACUCUCGCCUCCCGUGCAGGAGACCUGGGUUCGAUUCCCAGCCAAUGCA